GCUAUACAUUUGCCAAAGGAAAAAUAAAAGCUCUCAAGCUCUCAACAAUGGUGCUCCCGCUCACCUCUCAAGCUCACUCUCUCUCUCUAUAUGAACAAACAAGGGAACAAACCCUUUUAUAUUUACAAGCUUUGGCCGGCUGCCCAUUUGUGUGGCUCAAUUUAAAUUACAAAUAAACUAUUAUGGGAAGUACAUGAUGGACCGGCUUGCAUUGACACCUAGCUCCACUUG
rnacentral:misc_RNA from 1 species